rnacentral:rRNA from 1 species
CCGGAUAUGACCAGAGGACGCAUGUUCUGUGGUGGAAAGUUUUUCGAUCGGGGAUGGGCUCGCGGCCUAUCAGCUUGUUGGUGGGGUAAUGGCCUACCAAGGCGACGACGGGUAGCCGGCCUGAGAGGGCGACCGGCCACACUGGGACUGAGACACGGCCCAGACUCCUACGGGAGGCAGCAGUGGGGAAUAUUGCACAAUGGGGGAAACCCUGAUGCAGCGACGCAGCGUGCGGGAUGACGGCCUUCGGGUUGUAAACCGCUUUCAGCAGGGAAGAAGCGAAAGUGACGGUACCUGCAGAAGAAGUACCGGCUAACUACGUGCCAGCAGCCGCGGUAAUACGUAGGGUACGAGCGUUGUCCGGAAUUAUUGGGCGUAAAGAGCUCGUAGGUGGUUGGUCACGUCUGCUGUGGAAACGCAACGCUUAACGUUGCGCGGGCAGUGGGUACGGGCUGACUAGAGUGCAGUAGGGGAGUCUGGAAUUCCUGGUGUAGCGGUGAAAUGCGCAGAUAUCAGGAGGAACACCGGUGGCGAAGGCGGGACUCUGGGCUGUAACUGACACUGAGGAGCGAAAGCAUGGGGAGCGAACAGGAUUAGAUACCCUGGUAGUCCAUGCCGUAAACGUUGGGCA